GCUCAGUAACACGUCGGUAAUCUGCCCUUAGGUCAGGGACAAGCUCGGGAAACUGAGUCUAAUACCUGAUACGGAAUAAAGCCUGGAAUGGCUUAUUCUUCAAACUCGCGCCUAAGGAUGAGCCGGCGGCCGAUUAGGCUGUUGGUGGGGUAACGGCCCACCAAACCGAAGAUCGGUAUGGGCCAUGAGAGUGGUAGCCCAGAGAGGGACCCUGAGAUACUGGUCCCAGCCCUACGGGGUGCAGCAGGCGCGAAACCUUUACAAUGCACGCAAGUGUGAUAGGGGAAUUCUCAGUGCUCAUGCAUUGCAUGGGCUUUUGCCAAGGAUAAACACCUUGGCGAAUAAGUGGUGGGUAAGACUGGUGCCAGCCGCCGCGGUAACACCAGCGCCACGAGUGGGGAUCGCGAUUAUUGGGCCUAAAGCGUCCGUAGCCGGACUUGUAAAUUCUUUGUGAAAUCGUUGGGCUUAAACUCAACGGCUUGCAGAGAACACUGCAAGUCUCGGGACCGGGGAGGGGCUAGAGGGUAUUCCUGUGGGGAGCGGGUAAAAUUGCUAUAAUCCACGGCAGGACCAACCGAUGGACGAAGGGCAUCUUAACCAGAACCGAUCCGACGGUUGAGGGACCGAAAGCCACGGGAGCGAACCGGAUUAAAUACCCCCGAAGUCAGUCCAUGGCCCGUAAA
rnacentral:rRNA from 1 species